rnacentral:rRNA from 1 species
UACGGAGGGUGCGAGCGUUAUCCGGAAUUACUGGGUUUAAAGGGUGCGUAGGCGGCCAUGUACGUCAGGAGUGAAAGUUUGCGGCUCAACCGUAAAAUUGCUUUUGAUACUGCAUGGCUGGAAUCAGGAUGAGGUCAGCGGAAUGUGGCAUGUAGCGGUGAAAUGCAUAGAUAUGCCAUAGAACACCAAUUGCGAAGGCAGCUGGCUAGACCUGUAUUGACGCUGAGGCACGAAAGCGUGGGGAGCGAACAGG